AAUAUUCAUAGUAACAAAUUACUCUCAUUUAAACAACACAUAUAAGAAAUAAAAAGGACAAAACAUAGGCAUAGACAUAUCAACACACAUAGGAGGAAAUAGAUAAUGAGUGCUUCCUUUUAUUCCCAAUACACAAUAGUAAUAAUAAAUGCAAAACAAAAAAUAAAAAAUAAUAGAGGGCUGACUAAUAGUAAAAUGCUAAUUAAGAAU
rnacentral:misc_RNA from 1 species